rnacentral:rRNA from 1 species
CAGUGGGGAAUAUUGGACAAAUGGGCGCAAGCGUGAUCCAGCAAUGCCGCGUGUGUGAAGAAGGCCCGAGGGUUGUAAAGCACUUUCAGAAGAGAAGAGGAUUUUAAGGUUAAUAGCUUUAAAAUUGGACGUUACCUUCAGAAGAAGCACCGGCUAACUCUGUGCCAGCAGCCGCGGUAAUACAGAGGGUGCAAGCGUUAAUCGGAAUUACUGGGCGUAAAGCGCGCGUAGGCGGAUGGAUAAGUUGGAUGUGAAAGCCCCGGGCUCAACCUGGGAUGGUCAUUCAAAACUGUUUAUCUAGAGUGUGGCAGAGGGUAGKGGAAUUCCUAGUGUAGCGGUGAAAUGCGUAGAUAUUAGGAGGAACAUCAGUGGSGAAGGSGCCUUCCUGGACCAACACUGACGCUGAGGUGCGAAAGCGUGGGUAGCGAACAGGAUUAGAUACCCUGGUAGUCCACGCCGUAAACGAUGWGAACUAGACGUUGGUCUCUUAAGUGAUUAGUGUCGCAGCU